UACGGAGGGUGCGAACGUUAAUCGGAAUCACUGGGCGUAAAGCGCGCGUAGGCGGUUUGCUAAGUGGGAUGUGAAAUCCCCGGGCUUAACCUGGGAAUUGCAUUUCAAACUGGCCGACUAGAGUACGGUAGAGGGAGGUAGAAUUUCCUGUGUAGCGGUGAAAUGCGUAGAUAUCAGGAGGAACACCGGUGGUGUAGACGGCUUUCUGGACCGUAACUGACGCUGAGACACGAAAGCGUGGGUAGCAAACAGG
rnacentral:rRNA from 1 species